rnacentral:rRNA from 1 species
CAGUAACACGUGGACAACCUGCCCUGAGGACUGGAAUAAUCCCGGGAAACUGGGGGUAAUUCCAGAUAUGUCAGAACUCCUGGAAUGGGUUCUGGCAGAAAGGCUCCGGCGCCUCAGGAUGGGUCUGCGGCCUAUCAGGGUAGUAGUGGGUGUAACGUACCUACUAGCCUACGACGGGUACGGGUUGUGAGAGCAAGAGCCCGGAGAUGGAUUCUGAGACAUGAAUCCAGGCCCUACGGGGUGCAGCAGGCGCGAAAACUUUACAAUGCGGGCAACCGCGAUAAGGGGACCUCGAGUGCUGGGUUACAAACCUGGCUGUUGGGCUGCCUAAAAAGCAGUCUAUAGCAAGGGCCGGGCAAGACCGGUGCCAGCCGCCGCGGUAACACCGGCGGCUCGAGUGGUAACCGCUGUUAUUGGGUCUAAAGGGUCUGUAGCCUGCCGGCUAAGUCUCUUGGGAAAUCUGGCAUCUCAGGUGUCAGGCUGCCAGGGGAUACUGGUCAGCUUGGGACCGGGAGAGGUGAGAGGUACCUCAGGGGUAGGGGUGAAAUCUUGUAAUCCUUGAGGGACCACCAGUGGCGAAGGCGUCUCACCAGAACGGAUCCGACGGCAAGGGACGAAAGCUAGGGGCACGAACCGGAUUAGAUACCCGGGUAGUCCUAGCCGUAAACGAUACUCGCUAGGUGUCGGCCACGGUGCGACCGUGGUCGGUGCCGUAGGGAAGCCGUGAAGCGAGCCACCUGGGAAGUACGGCCGCAAGGCUGAAACUUAAAGGAAUUGGCGGGGGAGCACA